ACGCAGCCAUGUAUAAAUUGAUGCGUUAACUUUUAUUUUUUUAUUUAAAUUUAAAACAAAAAAAAUUACUUGCUUUGUAUUUACUACAAAGAAAUAAAGGAAGGAAGAAGAGCAAGACGUCCAAAAUAUUUGUUAAAAGAAAUCUUUUUUCUGAAUAUAUUAAUAUUAAAGGCGAUUUAACAAAUUCGCAAUUUUAUAAUUAUACAAGAAUGAGAAGAGCGACAUUUUCUUAUAUACUGGAGCUCAUAUUUCAUAUAUGAGGAUAUUAAUCCAAAAGUUACUAACUGUAACAAACAAAUCGAUGCUGAGGAUCGUUUGUUUGUUACAUUAAGGUAUUUAAUAACUGGUGUAUCAUUUGCACAACUAGCUUAUAGUUCAAGGAUCACAUUCUAAGUAAGCCAAUAGAAAUAGGACUACCUAGCAUAGAGAUAGUGAUAAAGGCUAUUUGCAUUCUACAUAACAUUAUCAUCAACAAAGAAGGAUCAGCUUCCAUUGAUGAUAUAGAUCCUACAUUGGCUAACCUUACAACAAGACCAUUUUUGGUAAGCAGGGAAAACAACUCAAGCUCACAGGAAUCUAAAAUCAUUAGGGAUAAAUUCUUAAAUUUUUAUAUUAUAAUAAAUUUAUUAAUAUUACUAUUAUAA